UACGUCGUCACUCAGUCUAACAUGUCUUCCCUUACCUUACAUUAGAAUUAUUUAUUUACGACUCAAGUUCAUGGACGGCGGAAGUUUCUUAAGCUAUCGACGACUGCCAUGGACACUAGUUCACACAGUUCAUUGCGUAUUAAAGUGAUUUCCGAGCUAGUAAUAUUAGUUGUGCGAGUAAGUUGACGUGAAAAGUGCAAUAAAUAUAAAAAUGAGCGUUGAAAAACGUAAAAUAACUUUUGACAAGCGUAAAAAGUAUGUCAAUCAUCUAUCAGUGUUCAAACAGAGAACAAAGAAAGAUGAUAAUAAUGAAUUGUCUGAGCGAAUAAUCAUCACUGCUCGUAAAACUGGUGAGCUUAAUUUGUCUUCAAGAGGAUUAUCUACGGUUCCGCGGAGAGUAUGGACAAUAAAUGAAUUAACGAAGGAAGAGAUCGAAGAGCUGCAUGUGAAUUUAGAUUUUGAUGAAGAUCGAGACCGUUGGUGGGAACAAGAAUCAUUAAAAACACUGAAUCUCUCUUCAAAUAGUUUGACAUCUAUCGAUCCGGAAAUUCAAAAUUUAUCUGAUCUGAUUGACUUUGAUCUUCAUGAUAAUUUAAUUGAAGAAUUACCGGAUCAAGUUCGAAUGCUAUUAAAACUUAGGAAACUAAAUUUAUCUCACAAUAACCUGAAUAAAAUAAAUACUAAUUUAUUUACAUUGGAAAAUUUACGGCAGCUAAAUUUAUCCCACAAUAAUAUUAAAGAGUUGGAUCCAUCAAUUGGUGAUCUCGUUAUGCUCGAGUCAUUAAACUUGUCGUAUAAUAAUAUUACGAAAUUGCCUAUUGGAUUGGGAUACCUAGUGCGAUUGUGUAAUCUUGAUUUAAAUCACAAUCUGUUGAUAGAAUUACCACCGGAUAUUAUGAGCAUGAGAGUUUUAAAAAAACUUGAUGCAAGUUCUAAUAAUUUGGAAGUAACUCCUCCUCUGGGUGAAAUGAGAAAACUAGAGAUCCUUAAUCUUCAAGACAAUAAUUUGUCUGUAUUUCCUGAUGUAAUUGGUUGUACUGCUUUACGUGAAAUCUAUCUUUCUAAUAAUCAAAUAACUGAAUUUGAAAUGGAAUGCUUAGAAGGUAUUGGCCAAUUAAAAUCUCUUGUGAUGGCAAAUAAUAAAAUCGAAACAAUCCCUGAUGACAUCAUUAAAUUACUUAAUUUAGAACGUCUUGAUUUAUCCUCAAACAAACUAACUUUUGUGUCAAACUCAUUAUGCAUUAUGCCAAAUUUAAAGCAUCUAAUUAUUGAUGGAAAUAAAAUUAAAAAUAUAAGAAGAGAUAUUAUUCAAUGCGGAACGCCAAGAAUUUUGAGACACUUGAGACAAGGUUUUGAUUCCGACUCUGUAGAUUUGAGUCGAUCAUCGUCACCAUGUCCUACUAUGAUCCCUGGUCCUGACAAAUACAUGAUGAAACAUACAAAACUACUGAGUUUAGCGGCUCAGAAUCUUGAGCAAAUACCUGACAAUGUUUUGGAAGAUGCAAGUGAAGCUAAAGUCACGUGUGUUGAUUUAAGUCGCAAUCGAUUCACGCAAUUGCCGGACAAAUUAAAUUUGAUAAAAUCUGUUGAAGAUUUGAAAUUAUUUUGCAAUCAAUUGGUGUCAUUGCCCGAGUGGAUCGGCGAGCUUUGCCGUCAUUUGAGAUACUUGGACCUGAGUAAAAACCAAUUGACGAAUCUACCAGAUAGCAUUGGAAUGCUAGAACUUCUACGUGAAAUUAAUAUUUCCCAUAAUAAAUUUACGCUGGUACCUGAAUGUAUUUAUAAUAUAAGUCACUUGGAAAUACUGAUCGUUCAUGACAAUCGCGUGAAAGAAAUAGACGCAUCAUCAUUAGCUAAAUUAAAACGACUAGCUAAAUUAGAUUUGUCGAAUAACGACAUUGGGAAUGUGCCUCCCGAGUUGGGAAAUCAAACAAAUAUCAGUUGAUUAUUUGUUCAUUUUCCUGAAUAGUUAAGAUAUCGUAAACCAUCAGUAAUAUAUAUAGAAAUACAUAUUAUGAUGUUGGACCCUUGAGCAUUGUAUCUCACUGCAUGUUACGCAUUGUUACGCUCAGUGCAAAGUCAUCGCCACGAUUGUCAUCUUAUCGAGUGUGGACUCUACUACUGUCGGGGAAUUGUUUUAAACAACCACGUCACGAUACAUUAGUCAAAGGAACCGAAGAAAUUCUUUCCUAUUUACGAAAUCGAAUUCCGUUGUAAUAAUUCAACAUUUUGAAAUUAAUGCCAAAGUAAUUGUGCCUCAUUACAAAUUACAAGCAAAUUAAAUUUAAAAAUAAUAAAAGUCAAAUUAUUCUAAAUAUUCUAUAAAGAUGGAGAUUUAUAAUAAACAAAAAUUACUGAUUAUAAAA